rnacentral:rRNA from 1 species
GACGAACGCUGGCGGCGUGCUUAACACAUGCAAGUCAAGGGGGCUCCGCAAGGGGCAACCGGCGAACGGGUGCGUAACACGUGAGCAACCUGCCUUCGAGUGGGGGAUAGCCGGCCCAACGGCCGGGUAAUACCGCAUACGCUCUUCUGGUGGCAUCACCGGGGGAGGAAACGUUUACGGCUCGGAGAGGGGCUCGCGGCCUAUCAGCUAGUUGGUGGGGUCACGGCUUACCAAGGCGACGACGGGUAGCUGGUCUGAGAGGAUGGCCAGCCACAUUGGGACUGAGAAACGGCCCAGACUCCUACGGGAGGCAGCAGUGGGGAAUCUUGCGCAAUGGCCGAGAGGCUGACGCAGCGACGCCGCGUGGGGGAUGAAGCAUUUCGGU